UUAAAUUGAAGAGUUUGAUCAUGGCUCAGAUUGAACGCUGGCGGCAGGCCUAACACAUGCAAGUCGAACGGUAACAGGAAGCAGCUUGCUGCUUCGCUGACGAGUGGCGGACGGGUGAGUAAUGUCUGGGAAACUGCCUGAUGGAGGGGGAUAACUACUGGAAACGGUGGCUAAUACCGCAUAACGUCGCAAGACCAAAGAGGGGGACCUUCGGGCCUCUUGCCAUCAGAUGUGCCCAGAUGGGAUUAGCUUGUUGGUGAGGUAACGGCUCACCAAGGCGACGAUCCCUAGCUGGUCUGAGAGGAUGACCAGCCACACUGGAACUGAGACACGGUCCAGACUCCUACGGGAGGCAGCAGUGGGGAAUAUUGCACAAUGGGCGCAAGCCUGAUGCAGCCAUGCCGCGUGUAUGAAGAAGGCCUUCGGGUUGUAAAGUACUUUCAGCGGGGAGGAAGGUGUUGUGGUUAAUAACCACAGCAAUUGACGUUACCCGCAGAAGAAGCACCGGCUAACUCCGUGCCAGCAGCCGCGGUAAUACGGAGGGUGCAAGCGUUAAUCGGAAUUACUGGGCGUAAAGCGCACGCAGGCGGUCUGUCAAGUCGGAUGUGAAAUCCCCGGGCUCAACCUGGGAACUGCAUUCGAAACUGGCAGGCUUGAGUCUUGUAGAGGGGGGUAGAAUUCCAGGUGUAGCGGUGAAAUGCGUAGAGAUCUGGAGGAAUACCGGUGGCGAAGGCGGCCCCCUGGACAAAGACUGACGCUCAGGUGCGAAAGCGUGGGGAGCAAACAGGAUUAGAUACCCUGGUAGUCCACGCCGUAAACGAUGUCUACUUGGAGGUUGUGCCCUUGAGGCGUGGCUUCCGGAGCUAACGCGUUAAGUAGACCGCCUGGGGAGUACGGCCGCAAGGUUAAAACUCAAAUGAAUUGACGGGGGCCCGCACAAGCGGUGGAGCAUGUGGUUUAAUUCGAUGCAACGCGAAGAACCUUACCUGGUCUUGACAUCCACAGAACUUUCCAGAGAUGGAUUGGUGCCUUCGGGAACUGUGAGACAGGUGCUGCAUGGCUGUCGUCAGCUCGUGUUGUGAAAUGUUGGGUUAAGUCCCGCAACGAGCGCAACCCUUAUCCUUUGUUGCCAGCGGUUAGGCCGGGAACUCAAAGGAGACUGCCAGUGAUAAACUGGAGGAAGGUGGGGAUGACGUCAAGUCAUCAUGGCCCUUACGACCAGGGCUACACACGUGCUACAAUGGCGCAUACAAAGAGAAGCGACCUCGCGAGAGCAAGCGGACCUCAUAAAGUGCGUCGUAGUCCGGAUUGGAGUCUGCAACUCGACUCCAUGAAGUCGGAAUCGCUAGUAAUCGUGGAUCAGAAUGCCACGGUGAAUACGUUCCCGGGCCUUGUACACACCGCCCGUCACACCAUGGGAGUGGGUUGCAAAAGAAGUAGGUAGCUUAACCUUCGGGAGGGCGCUUACCACUUUGUGAUUCAUGACUGGGGUGAAGUCGUAACAAGGUAACCGUAGGGGAACCUGCGGUUGGAUCACCUCCUUACCUUAAAGAAGC
rnacentral:rRNA from 3 species